rnacentral:rRNA from 1 species
AGGACGAACGCUGGCGGCAGGCUUAACACAUGCAAGUCGAGCGCCGUAGCAAUACGGAGCGGCAGACGGGUGAGUAACGCGUGGGAACAUACCCUUCGGUUCGGAAUAAUUCAGGGAAACUUGGACUAAUACCGGAUACGGACGAGAGUCGAAAGAUUUAUCGCCGAAGGAUUGGCCCGCGUUCGAUUAGCUAGUUGGUGUGGUAACGGCGCACCAAGGCGACGAUCGAUAGCUGGUCUGAGAGGAUGAUCAGCCACAUUGGGACUGAGACACGGCCCAAACUCCUACGGGAGGCAGCAGUGGGGAAUAUUGGACAAUGGGCGCAAGCCUGAUCCAGCCAUGCCGCGUGAGUGAUGACGGCCUUAGGGUUGUAAAGCUCUUUCGCUAGGGACGAUAAUGACGGUACCUAGACAAGAGCCCGGCUACUUCGCGCCAGCAGCCGC